UACCAGCUCUUCGAGUGGUGUGGAUGUUUAUUGGGCCUAAAGCAUCCGUAGCUGGCUGGGCAAGUCCCCUGUUAAAUCCACCGAUUUAAUCGUUGGAGUGCGGGGGAUACUGUUCGGCUAGGGGACGGGAGAGGCAGACGGUAUUUUCGGGGUAGGGGUGAAAUCCUAUAAUCCCGGGAAGACCACCAGUGGCGAAGGCUGUCUGCUAGAACGCGCCCGACGGUGAGGGAUGAAAGCUGGGGGAGCGAACCGGAUUAGAUACCCGGGUAGUCCCAGCUGUAAACGAUGCAGGCUAGGUGUUUGGGCGGCCACGUGCCGCUCUAGUGCCGCAGGGAAGCCGUUAAGCCUGCCGCCUGGGGAGUACGGCCGCAAGGCUGAGACUUAAAGGAAUUGGCGGGGGAGCACCACAAGGGGUGAAGCUUGCGGUUU
rnacentral:rRNA from 1 species